CACUCCAAAGAUACAAAGUACAACGAAGACUACAGCAAUUUUAAAAGACAUAAUGUUAAUUGAAAUGUCAUCAAGCGCUUGGUACUCAAAUGAUUCUACAUGGCUGGGAGCAUUAACUCAGAAGAAACAAAAGUAAAAACCUUGAAAUACUCACGCUUUCGACUUCCCAAAGACGUCAAACAGACAACAAAAAACGAACAUUUUCUGUGAAUUUUAAUUUGUUAUUGCUGGAUGGAUUGUCAU